UUCAUGUUGUAGCAUGGGUCAAAAUUUUCUUCCUUUUUUAGGCUGAAUAAUAUUCCAUUAUAUAUAUGAAUUACGUAUUUGAGUCAUGUAGAUGAAUUAUAUAUAUGAAUAUAUAUCUCCUAUUUAUUUUUAAAGGCAGCAAAUUGUAUUAAUGAUUUUGAUAUAUAUUGGCUUUUAAGUGUAAAGACUAUUACCAUUUAACUCUUGGACCCUAAAACCGUUUUUCUUAAGCAGCAAAUUAUCAUCCUGAUGGAACUAUUCAAGUAAGCAAUGGUAGCCUUGCCUUUUACCCAGCACAGACGAAUGUAUUUCCCAGACCUACUCAGCCAUUUGUCAAUAGCCGGGGAUCUGUUAGAGGAUGUACUCGUGGUGGGAGAUUAAUAACCAAUUCCUAUCGGUCCCCUGGUGGUUAUAAAGGUAUGCCCCGAAUACAAUUUAAUUAUACUGAA
rnacentral:sRNA from 1 species